rnacentral:lncRNA from 1 species
AAGCAAUUACCACAUAAAAUGAGCAAAAUGGGACCCAAAAUGAAUGCCCUAUCUACCCACCUGCUGUUCUUGAUCUAGAAAUAAUUCAGUCCUUUGGUUAUUUGCAGGGAGCUUUGGGAAGGAAACACAUUUCAUAAAUCCCCAUGGCUACAGAUAUUACUGCAAUGGUUAUCAUCACACACAAAACCCCUGGAUUCCUGUGGACUGUUACAUGGGUUGGCUGACUCUGAGUCACUGGCACUGCUGCUGUGAAGAACCUUGAUGUCCUCACUGCUGAUAAACCCAGCAUGAGGGUUUUAGAGUGAUAGGACCGAGAAGAUGAAAUGGCUGCCCUGGGCUCAUUGCAGAAAAAUGACAAGUAUGCAGAGACCAUUUUGCUGUUUGUAUGACAUCAGUUUUCAGGUUGAUGGAAUCCUAUUUACCUCUUCGGAGAGCACCAUGAGAAGAAGAAGCCCUGUGAAAUUCAUCUUUGCAUCUCCUGUUAGCUUGCUGCUAAGAACUCUUGACUAUUACAUCAUUCACUGACAUCUUUAUGAAGCCUCUCAAGAGAAAUUUUGGUCUGGUCUUACUGUUAGAAAUAACAGUGCUUCCUUCACUUGAGUAAUUGGUUUGUUUUUGUUUUAUGGGCACUAAAUGGUGUAACUAAGUUUCCUUUUCUGACUGCCUGCCAGAAAGCUUACAUUUAAAUUUGUAGUUAAUCUAGAGUAAAUGAGUAGGAUUGCAUAAGCAUUUUUGUAUAAGCUUCAUUCCUGAUUCGCCUGUUACAAAUUUCUUGACCUAUGUUAUGGAUUCUUUUAAGCCACUUGAAACUUUUUCUGGAAAAGUCUGUUUAUAAAUAGAUGGUAAAUAAACUUACAAAAUGCAGAUUAAAAUCAUUUUGCAGUUUAUUUUGGAGAAAAGGGAAGA